UACGAAGGGGGCGAGCGUUAUUCGGAAUCACUGGGCGUAAAGCGUGCGUAGGCUGUUUGACAAGUUGGGAGUGAAAGCCCAGGGCUCAACCCUGGGAGGCGGGUGGAUACUACGGAACUGGAGUACGGAAGAGGAGAUUGGAAUUCCUGGUGUAGCGGUGAAAUGCGCAGAUAUCAGGAGGAACACCAACAGCGAAGGCAGAUCUCUGGGACGUUACUGACGCUGAGACGCGAAAGCGUGGGGAGCAAACAGG
rnacentral:rRNA from 1 species